UUUCAUAGAUUAUCUCCAACAAUCAGGUAUAUAUGUACUGAUAUAUCUUCUAUUCCCGCUGGAAAGUUUCCUCCCAUAUAUAAUGUAGUUAAAGGUGUAAGUGCAUGAAGUUGCUUUAUAUGUGAUACUAUAACCAUUGUCGAAAGCCUUCAGGUUUGCGUAAUGGACUACAUUCAUCUUCGAUAACACACGAGGGAGGAACUACGUGUUGACUGUUAAGGUGUGUUGUGAAAUUCUCUCUGAUUGACCUCUAGAUGUACCUUUAACCACGCGUCAGUGUGCAGUCGCUCCAAUGUGUAGCCCUUUUAAAAUGCAAGAUUGACAAUGUGGUUACUUUUCAUUUCAAAUUGUACUAUCAUGGAUCAGCACUUUCCAUUAUUGUAAAUGGUUACCAUGUAAUCAUUGAAAAUUAAAAGUGAUAUAUUUUCCACUC